GGCGCUGUAGUGUAGAGGUUAUCACUCGAGAUUCUGACCUUAAGAUUUCUCGAAACCCAGGUUCGAUUCCUGGCAGUGCCU